GGGGUUGUGGCUCAGCGGUAGAGAGCGCACCCCGCACAUGCGAGACCCUGGGUUGGAUCCUCAGCACCACA
rnacentral:tRNA from 1 species